AGCGAACGCUGGCGGCAGGCCUAACACAUGCAAGUCGAACGAACCUUUCGGGGUUAGUGGCGGACGGGUGAGUAACACGUGGGAACGUGCCUUUAGGUUCGGAAUAACUCAGGGAAACUUGCGCUAAUACCGAAUGUGCCCUUCGGGGGAAAGAUUUAUCGCCUUUAGAGCGGCCCGCGUCUGAUUAGCUAGUUGGUUGAGGUAAUGGCUCACCAAGGCGACGAUCAGUAGCUGGUCUGAGAGGAUGAUCAGCCACAUUGGGACUGAGACACGGCCCAAACUCCUACGGGAGGCAGCAGUGGGGAAUCUUGCGCAAUGGGCGAAAGCCUGACGCAGCCAUGCCGCGUGAAUGAUGAAGGUCUUAGGAUUGUAAAAUUCUUUCACCGGGGACGAUAAUGACGGUACCCGGAGAAGAAGCCCCGGCUAACUUCGUG
rnacentral:rRNA from 1 species